rnacentral:rRNA from 1 species
UUGGAGGGCAAGUCUGGUGCCAGCAGCCGCGGUAAUUCCAGCUCCAAUAGCGUAUAUUAAAGUUGUUGCAGUUAAAAAGCUCGUAGUUGAAUUUCGGGGUUCUACCGUUGGUCGGGCUUUGUCUGUACUGGUGUGUAGAAUUUCUACCUUCUGGGGAACCAUCAUGCUAUUAAUUUAGCGUGGUGGGAAACCAGGACCUUUACCUUGAAAAAAUUAGUGUGUUCAAAGCAGGCUUAUGUCUGAAUACAUUAGCGUGGAAUAAUAGAAUAGGACGGUGGUCCUGUUUUGUUGGUUUCUGAAUCACCGUAAUGAUUAAUAGGGAUAGUUGGGGGCAUUAGUAUUCAAUUGUCAGAGGUGAAAUUCUUGGAUUUAUUGAAGACUAACUUCUGCGAAAGCAUUUGCCAAGGAUGUUUUCAUUAAUCAAGAACGAAAGUUAGGGGAUCGAAGACGAUCAGAUACCGUCGUAGUCUUAACCAUAAACUAUGCCGACUAGGGAUCGGACGAUGUUAAUUUUUCUUGACUCGUUCGGCGCCUUACCGGGAAAC